GUCAGGAUGGCUGAGCGGUCGAAGGCACCAGAAUCAAGUUCUGGUCCACGAAUGUGGGCGUGGAUUCGAAUCCCACUUCUGACA
rnacentral:tRNA from 1 species